CCUUAUGCAUGCUAGAACUGCUAUUGAUUAUGAAAAGAAGGCAAACAUUGAGUUGGUGGAGCAGAGACAGGCAAUGGAGAAGAACAUGAUUUCUAUGGCACGUGAAGUUGAAAAGCUACGGGCUGAACUUGCUAGUGCUGAUGCUCGACCCUGGGUUACUGGUGGGCCAUAUGGGAUGAAGUUCGGUAAUCCAGAGAGGGGAAUUCCUGCACCUUAUGGGGAUCGAUAUGGGGUUCAUGUGGUUGCUGCUGACAAGGGUCCUUUGUAUGGCCCUGGUCCUGCUUCAUGGGAUAAGACCCAUAUGCCUCGUCGUUGAGAUGGUUGCUGUUCAAAUUUAAAAGGGCAAAGUUGUUAUUGUGGCUGCCUAUUAUCCUGUUGAAUAUCUCAGUAGGCGAGAAGUACCUUUCAUCUUUGUGUGCAUGCCAACCAGUACUCUUUUAUCUGAAUACAUUAUUGAAAACUGGUUGUGAAGGCAGAGAAAGUCAGGUAUUUUCUUUUUUUUAUUACUAUUGCUUUUUUUUUAUACCAGCCCUUCCACCUAGGAGUGAGCAGUAUUCGGCUCAGACCAAAAUAACCAACCGAACCGAAUAAAUUCAGAAAUUUGUUUCGGUUCAUUUGAAAAAUCGAUUUGGUUUCGAUUUUUAAAAUUUGCAGUUUAUUCAAUUUGGUUCGGCUUUUAAAGAUGAAAAAAAUUGGUCGAACCAAACUGAGCCAAAAUAAAUAUUAUUUAAAAAGUCCUAUUAUUCUUAUGUAGCAUGUGGCUUAGUGGCUAAGAGGUGAUAUAAACCCGACAAGUUCUAGUCUUGCAAUCUGCAUCAUGCUUUUUUGUUUUAACAACUUAACUUUCUAAAUAAAUAACGUCUGUCCAUUUAAAAAGAUUUGAGCCGAUAAAUCAUUAUUAUAUAUUUAUAAGUUUCUCACUUCUUAUUCUCAGAAAACCUUAGCCACCCAUGCCUAACGCCACCUCUGUUCAUCUCCCUCUUCUCCCUUCUUUUCCUCUCUUCUACUCCUCUUCGUUUCAUCUUAUUUUUGUCCUCAUUUCGCCGCAUAGAAAUUAGAAAGGCCAUUGACGCCGCUGCCAUAGAGAAAGGCCAUCGAUGCCGCUGCACCUCAUUUCUGUUCUUCUAUUCUUUGUGUUCUUCAAGGGAUUUGGAGGACCUUUGAGGUCUACAGUGUCACAGUUUAUUUGCGAGAGAUUUGAAGGACCUAUAGUCUGCGUCCAUGUUUAGAUUCGGAGGAUCAACAGUUCUUGGUUGUUUUGAUUUACUGAAUUUUGAGAUGUGUAUUUAGUUGUUAUGCUGAUAAUUUAUCAGGGCCUAUUUGACAACUCUUUUAACUAUUUUCCUAUUUUAUAAUCUGGAAUUUAACUGGUUCACUAAAAGUUUUUGUUAAAAUUAAAAUAAUGCUGUUCAUCAAUUUGUAAUUUUUUGGUUGUGAUUUGAGCAUCAAAAAAAGAAUGGAGAUUUGAAACCAAUUUAUUUUGAUUUGAUUCGGUUCGGUUUAUAAAUUUAUGCGAAAUUCGGUUUUAAGUUUAUUCGGUUUGAUUCAAGCUCGGUCCAAACUUCUAGCCCCACAAGGCAGCUUGACACUGCAUUACCCCACUUCUGUCAUGGAGGAGGUGCCAUCAAAACAAAGAACCACAGAAAGGGAGGUUUUAGUCUUCUGUUUUAUGUAUAUAUAAAGCAAGUUUUCUGUUUUCAAUAAUGAUUUAAUCGGGAAAAACGACUGCUGAUAUGAUUUAUUUCUAAAAAGGAAUGAGAGUAAUUUAGGGGUGAGCAUUAAUUGGUUAAUAACGACUGAGAUUUGGUUAAUUAUUUUGGUUCAAUUUUGGCUCAAUUUGGUUUAAAAUUUUAAUCAAUCUUGCUUUUUGGUUUUCAAUUUGGUUGAGUUUCUCAGAACAGAACAAGUUGAUUAUUCUGUUUCGAUUUAUUUGAGAGAGUAGCAGAUGAAUUUGAGAAAAGUGAAAUAACCUUACUUCCACUCCUUUUAUUUUAUCAUUUCUCCUCAUUCACUACCACCCCUCCCAUUCUUUCCAACAUGGUGUUACCUUAUCGCUCUAUCUCUGUCGGUGUGAUGGUGCCGCCUUCUCUUCUGCCACUCCUCUUGCUCAAUCUUUGCAUGUUGCUGCCAUCUCUCUCUCCAUUGCCGCUCUCAUUCUUACUCUUAGGCAAGCAUGUGUUAAUCAAGAUUUAGUGCUUAUUUUAAGUCAUUAAUUGAUAAUUGUAUUUGGGUGUCAGUUAUGUUCUGU
rnacentral:misc_RNA from 1 species